UAGUAUUAGUUAUGUUCUUGAAAAUUAAAAAAGUUGGCGGUAUUUUAGUCUAUUUAGAGGAACCUGUUCUAUAAUCGAUAAUCCCCGAUUUGAUUUACUUAUUGUUUAAGUUUGCAUAUCCCCGUAGAUUGAAUAUUUUUAAAGAAAAAGAAAUGUUCAAUAAGUUUUUAAAAAAAGAAUUCAGGUCAAGAUGUAGCAUAUAAAUAAGAAGAGAUGGGUUACAAUAAAUUUAUUUAUAAUGAAUUAAUAAAUUUAAUUUUAUAAUGAAGGUGGAUUUAAAGGUAAU
rnacentral:rRNA from 1 species